GAUGAACGCUGGCGGCGUGCUUAACACAUGCAAGUCGAACGAAGCACUUUAUUUGAUUUCCUUCGGGACUGAUUAUUUUGUGACUGAGUGGCGGACGGGUGAGUAACGCGUGGGUAACCUGCCUUGUACAGGGGGAUAACAGUUGGAAACGGCUGCUAAUACCGCAUAAGCGCACAGCAUCGCAUGCGGCAGUGUGAAAAACUCCGGUGGUAUAAGAUGGACCCGCGUUGGAUUAGCUAGUUGGUGAGGUAACGGCCCACCAAGGCGACGAUCCAUAGCCGACCGGAGAGGGGGACCGGCCACAUUGGGAAUAGGACACGGCCCCAACUCCUACGCGAGGCAGCAGUGGGGAAUAUUGCACAAUGGGCGAAAGUGUGAUGCAGCGACGCCGCGUGAGCGAAGAAGUAUUUCGGUAUGUAAAGCUCUAUCAGCAGGGAAGAUAAUGACGGUACCUGACUAAGAAGCACCGGCUAAAUACGUG
rnacentral:rRNA from 1 species